AUUUUCCUGUAAAAUUAAGAAAUAUAAUUAUUUAAAAAACAAACAACAAGAGGGCCGAAUUGUCCGCCCACCUAGCUAAAGUGACGGUAACGGUUAGCUAAAGUUAACUAAGUAACUAGCUAUCUUUCACAUUUAAACUGUCUUCAUUUGUCAAAGAGAAGUCCAUUUGUGAAAACCGUUUCAUUACCAUCGACGAACAAACACGUCGUUAACUUUGUUUAAAAUUGUACACUCACCAACUUCAUCAACUCCGACCGUCAACAUUUCCCCUCACAUUUAAAGGAGCUGCGCUUCAAUAACAAACCGCAUCGUGAAGCAGGAAGCAGCGUGACGGAUAUCAGCGGGAGCAAAUAGCAAGUGAGAAAAGUUCAGCGGUUUUGCCCAUAAAGAAGGAGGCGACAUGGAGCGGCAGGACGUUCUGAAGGAGGAGCUUGUUGACGUUCUCCAUGGUCUCCAUCUCCUCUCUCUCCGUCUUGAAACAGCGGUCCAACAGGAAGUCUACUCUGCAACCCAGCUCGUCCUGGCAGAGAAGGACACAGAGUACAAAUAAGCAUGAACAAAUUUGCAUAUACAAUCAUUUUGUUUCAAAAUCCUUCAUUAAAUGACAGAAAAUA